CGGAAACAUUCAAUCUCCAUUUCCGCCAAUAAUAUGACGAAAGAUGGAACCAAACCACAUGGGCCGAGAAGCAAAUUGAAAACCACAUCUACCACUCAAAUUGCGUCAACAUCGUAUGUGCAGUUCUGGAGCUAACAGCCCCCGAACACCACGGCAACCUCCGACAUACGCCACGGAAAUAUUCAAUCUCCAUUUCCGCCAAUAAUAUGACGAAAGAUGGAACCAAACCACUUGGACCGAGAAGCAAAUUGAGAACCACAUCUACCACACAAAUUGCGUCAACAUCCUAUGUGCAGUUCUGGAGCUAACAGCCCCCGAACACCCCGACAACCUCCGACAUACGCCGCCGGAAACACGGCAACCUCCGACAUACGCCACGGAAAUACUCAAUCUCCAUUUCCGCCAAUAAUAUGACGAAAGAUGGAACCAAACCACAUGGGCCGAGAAGCUUGGGCCGAGACGAAAAUUGAAAACCACAUCUACCACACAAAUUGCGUCAACAUCGUAUGUGCAGUUCUGGAGCUAACAGCCCCCGAACACCACGGCAACCUCCGACAUACGCCACGGAAAUAUUCAAUCUCCAUUUCCCGACAACCUCCGACAUACGCCGCCGGAAAUAUUCAAUCUCCAUUUC
rnacentral:lncRNA from 1 species